rnacentral:rRNA from 1 species
AUUGAACGCUGGUGGCAUGCUUUACACAUGCAAGUCGAACGGUAACAGGUCAAGCUGACGAGUGGCGAACGGGUGAGUAAUGCAUCGGAACGUGCCCGGUCGUGGGGGAUAACGCAGCGAAAGCUGCGCUAAUACCGCAUACGAUCUAAGGAUGAAAGCGGGGGACCGUAAGGCCUCGCGCGAUCGGAGCGGCCGAUGUCAGAUUAGGUAGUUGGUGGGGUAAAGGCUCACCAAGCCAACGAUCUGUAGCUGGUCUGAGAGGACGACCAGCCACACUGGGACUGAGACACGGCCCAGACUCCUACGGGAGGCAGCAGUGGGGAAUUUUGGACAAUGGGCGAAAGCCUGAUCCAGCAAUGCCGCGUGCAGGAAGAAGGCCUUCGGGUUGUAAACUGCUUUUGUACGGAGCGAAAAGGUCUCCUCUAAUACAGGGGGCUCAUGACGGUACCGUAAGAAUAAGCACCGGCUAACUACGUGCCAGCAGCCGCAGUAA